rnacentral:rRNA from 1 species
CAAAUGACUCUCGGCAAUGGAUAUCUCGGCUCUUGCAUCGAUGAAGAACGUAGUGAAAUGCGAUACUUGGUGUGAAUUGCAGAAUCUCGUGAACCAUUGAGUCUUUGAACGCAAGUUGUGCCCGGAGCCUUGUGGCCGAGGGCACGCCUGCUUGGGCGUCAUGG